rnacentral:lncRNA from 1 species
GGACGGACGGAGGGACACACAGACGGACGGACGACGUACGCUGCGCGAUCACAAAAGCUCACCUUGUCACUUUGUGACAUGUGAGCUAAAAAACCAUGUACAACCAACUGUUCUGAAAUUUCUAAGGUCUUACCUCUUUUUAGCAAGUGCUGUUUUUUUGAAACUCGGCAUAAGUUAAAAACAGUUAUGGUAACUUGACAUGGACAACCAAGAUCAGGUCAGAGAGAUGGCCUGUUUGCACCAGGCUGGUUCAAAUGACCCAUAAUAACACAUGUACACAUAGUCCUAAUGAACCAUAAAUCACGAAACGCACGGGCUUUUUGUUUAAGAAGAGGAAUGGCAAUCAUUGUGUGGAUAUUCGCACGAUGGUAAGGACAUUUUUUGGUUUACUGAACUUCUAGCUAUGCAUUGCAUAUACAUUUCAAUGUAUUUGAUACUUACAACAAUGUGCGGAUCGCUUUCUAAACUGUAGCAUAAUUUUGCACAUUUAGGUCACCAUAAAUUUUACAUAAUACAUGAAAUAAAAUAAUAUAGCUGUCGAAAAAUGUUCAUGUCAGCCAUUUGUAAAAUCCCAGAGAAAAAGGAGGAAGAAAAGAUACCGACCUCCGCUUAUUUCAGAUGCAGCCGCAAAUUCGGAUUAUCCUGCGUUUGUAACUAAACAUGUUGGCUUUACAAGAAAUCUAUGGUGUACAAUAUGUGCCAUAAUAAAAUUACGCUAUUUUGGCAAUUUGUACGGUUUUUUUUUGUUUGUUUCUUUUUGCAGGGGAGAAUUAGAGAUACUAAAGAAGUUGAAUACAUAGAAGAUGCUACAAAUCGGGCGGGCAGCAGGAGGAGCCGUAAGAACACUAUAUUUAAUAAGGCAAGAGAGAUGCAUAAGGCUACCAAGGACCACUGGUAUAUGAGGUGGAAGCGGGCGGACAGAAAGAAAAUUGCGGUAUGAAAUACAGAAGACGAUGAUAAAGUCAAAGAAAGCAACAUGGAUAUUUCUCAACUAGGGUCGUCAACCUCUACAGACAAUAAUGUGCAUCAACCACAAUCACCUGAGGGUGAAACGGCUACAAUACUCAUGUCUCCUACUAGGAACAUGACUUUAUUACGAGAGAAAUCGACACAAACAAGUCCAUCUGUGCAAGAAGAGGUUAACGUUAACCUAUGCAGGGUGUGUCAGCAAGAUCAGCCAGAAGGACAAGAAAGCCGAAACUAUUUUUCUUGGUUGUGGAGAGGAGUGUAACUUCUAGGU